CCCCGUUUGAUGUUGCAUCCACCGAUCUUCUACCUUUUACUGACUCUUUGUGUACUUUUGAAUUAGUGAGAAUUUAUCACGAGAAUGGCCUUCCUCUCCACCUGACAUCUCUAAUUAAACUUUCCUGUGAACGGAAACUGAAAGUGACUGCUGAAGGUGCUGGUGACGCUGGUAUUUCCCUGACUUGAAGAUGAACUCCGUUUGAUCAUUUCGUGCGAGUGCAAAUGUGCUGCUCACGAGGACGUCCUUUCUCCAGUUUUCCUCCACAUCUCUAAUUGGACCUACCUUUGAUCUCUGUGAAUGGAACUUGGCGAUGGCUGGCAGUAUUUCUCAGGUUUCAAGGUAGGACUGAUUUAAAAUUAUCAUUCCUUACUACUGUUUAAACAUAAGAAAGACAUAUUGAACUGCAAACUGCAUCAACCGGUUAGGCGAAAA